GGGUCAGUGGGUUGGUCGUGCCACCGGUACGUACUGGUCUCACUGAUUCCUCCUUCCUGAAGAACCGUAAUGCCAUUAAUUUGGUGUUGCGGGGAAACAGGACUGUUACUUUGAAAAAAUUAGAGUGUUUAAAGCAAGCUGACGCUUGAAUACAUUAGCAUGGAAUAAUGAAAUAGGACGAUCGAUCCUAUUUUGUUGGUUUCUAGGAUUGACGUA
rnacentral:rRNA from 1 species